AUGCCCGUCUCCGACUGUACCAAAACAAGUCUGGUGAUCAACUUUUUUCGUUGAAACUCGUUUAUUUUCAGCAACUACAACAAUUUUAACAGUUUUAUAAUUUAAUAUAAACGAAUUAGUCGGUACUCUUGGUAUCGAUGCAAUAACAACUGAAGACGAGAAAGAAGGCGUGUAGACUACAUUUUACAUCAAGCGAAUAUCUUUGUCUCAGAAUGUUAUGACAGGCGGCGGACCUAGCGCAGUGAUCAUCAAGUCGGACAAAAACAGGACUAUUUACGGAAUCUUAUUUUCGUGUCCAAUUACUGGAUCAGAAAAGUGCAUUAUGUUGAAGUCUUGCUGUGUAUACAGCACGGGGGUGCUAUGUAUACUUUUGUUAAUAGCUGGCAUAGCGCUAGUGAUGGCGCAUAUCUUCCCAAACAUUGUGCACAGCAGGAUAAAAUCGGAGGUGGUUUUGAAGAAUGGCACACUCGCAUUUGCAGCGUGGGAAAAUCCGCCGCCGCCAGUUUACAUGCAGUUUUAUUUCUUUAAUUUGACCAACCCGAUUGAAGUUCUGGCUGGAAAGAGGCCUGCCGUGGUGGAGCUGGGACCUUACACCUAUAGAGAAUACCGGCCGAUGGCGAAUGUGACUUUCCUGGAAAACGGCACCAAAGUGGAGGCAGUGAAUCCCAAGACCUACGUGUUUGAGCCCAGCAUGUCAAAAGGCACAGAGCAGGAUCUCAUCAGAACAGUGAACAUCCCAGCCAUGACUGUCAUGGAGAAGGUGAAAGACAUGCCCAUCAUCAACACUCUGGUCUCCAAGUUCAUGGAAGGGGAGGACAUCGGCCUCUUCACCACCCUGUCCGUGGGGGACCUACUCUGGGGAUACAAGGACUUACUCUUGGAGGAGGUGGCCAAGAUGGACCACUCCAUAGACCCCGUAUUCGGCCUCUUCCACAAUAUGAACGCAACAAACGAUGGUGACUAUGUGUUCUACACCGGCUCCCAGAACUAUGAAGACUUUGCCAAGGUGGUGACAUGGAAAGGCCAAAGUUCUCUGGACUUUUGGACGUCGGAUGAGUGCAACAUGAUCAACGGCACCACCGGCGCCGCCUUCCACCCCAUCAUCAACAAGAGUGAACCCCUCUUCAUGUUCUCCUCCGACCUCUGCAGGUCUAUAUAUGCUACCUAUGAGAAGGAUGUGUGGGUGGAGCACCUGCCAGCCUACCGUUUCGUGCCUCCAUAUGAGGUCUUUGCUAACCUGACCAUCACCCCUGCCAACGCAGGCUUCUGUGUCCCGCCCGGAAACUGCCUCGGAUCGGGGCUCCUCAACGUCAGCCCUUGCAAACAGGGAGCUCCAAUCAUCAUGUCCUCGCCGCACUUCUAUCAGGCCGACCAGAAGUUUGUGGAUGACAUCUUCGGGAUGAACCCCAAGAAGGAGUAUCAUGAGACGGCCAUCGACAUUAACCCGCUGACUGGUAUUGUGGUGCAAGCUGCAAAGAGGCUGCAGGUCAACGUCAUGGUGGAGAAGAUUGCCGUCUUCAGUAAGCAGACGGGUGAUGUCCAGUCCCUGGUGUUCCCUGUGGUGUACCUCAAUGAAAGCGUGGUGAUAGACGAGGCGUCGGCUAAGCAGCUGUAUGCGGUGGUGCUGGAGGCGGACGUGGUGAUGAACGUGCCCUGGUCUUAUUGAUCAUAUCUGAUAUUAUAUUACAUUAUAUCAUUUGGUCCUAUAGAGCGUGGUGAUAGACGAGGCGUCGGCUGAGCAGCUGUAUGCGGUGGUGCUGGAGGCGGACGUGGUGAUGAACGUGCCCUUCAUCGUCAUCGGGCUGGGCAUCCUGCUGGGCAUCUUCUUCAUGGUCCUCAUGUGCAGCAGACCCAAAGAACAGAGCUCCCCCGCCGAGCGCGAGCCCCUGCUGAAGCCUUAGGAGUCAACCAGGAAAAGUCGUCCCGGCCGCGAGUGCGACCUCUGGGCACGGACACCUGGCCGCAGGGACGCCUGCCUGGGGCCUCUCUGAGGUAGCGAAUGACACAGUACAUUUGUCUGUGUUAACUCCACACAUAGAGAGUAGAAUCGACACUGCACGUGUUAGCUGAGUGAGUGACCAGCAAAUUGUUGGUGUUUCAGUUAUUUUGAGGUUUAAAUUCGACUCUCUUAAGUGUUGAUUGAAUUACCACUGCUAAAUGUACUGUGUAGCGAGCUACUUAGGUAGGCCCAGCCUCCUCAAAAUGUCUUCAUGUUCGUGCAACAGCCAACGGACAAACAAACACGCUGCCCAAGCCUGGCGUAGUCGUCAUAACCACCUUUCAUCGUAACAUGCUUCCUGAAUGGCACUUUAUACCACUUCCCCUCCAAACUGGGUUUCCUAUUCCUAUUUUUGACCAACCGCUGGUUUGUUUUUGUUUUGUGUUUUUAGAAAGCUAUCCUUGCGGAAUAGAAGGGUGUGGCAUUAAGAAGCAUAGUUGAGCUUUUUUUGUUUUGUUUUGAGUUGUCUUGUUUUUUAAAAGAAACGUUUUAAUAUUGUUAUUUUAUGGUGUGAUAUUAAUUCUGUUUUUUGUCAUAUUGUCAUAUUGUCUUGUGUUUUUUAUUGUUUUUAUUGAUUAGCUGCUCUUUGUGUUUUUCUUUUAAAGCAAAAGAGAGAUGUAAAAGAUGAGAUCAUAUGACAAGAGUAGACACAUUUUGGGAAGAACAUGUAAAAUUAAAGAAGAUUUUUUCCAAAUGCUACUGAUAAUAACUUGAGUUCUGAAAAUAUGAUCAGAUUUUUAAGUGCAUAAGCCCAUGAAACUGGUUCAGAAGCAGCUAGUAGGGGUCUGCCUCGUCCGGCCGUCUUUGGACGUGGGCAUGCAGAGAUACAGUAAUGUUUGCGGAGGAUGUUUGGAGAAGGAGAGGGUGCUUGUGAGGAGGUGAAUGAAUGUGUUGGCUGAUGACCAGGUAUGAAGCAGUAUUGCACUAUGUGGGGUAGAUGUGGGCUUUGAGGGACAGGAGCUCCUGCUCCUGAAAUCACAAUCAAAAAAAAAAAAGAAAAGAAAAAGGAAAUAA